GCCGAUGUGGCGAAAUGGCAGACGCAACGGACUUAAAAUCCGUUCUCGCGAAAGCGAGGUGUGGGUUCGAAUCCCGCCAUCGGCA
rnacentral:tRNA from 1 species